rnacentral:rRNA from 1 species
AGGACGAACGCUGGCGGCGUGCCUAACACAUGCAAGUCGAACGAGGUCCAGCCAGUGGCAACACUGAGGACGACCUAGUGGCGAACGGGUGAGUAACACGUGAGGAACUUGCCCCGGAGACCGGGAUAACCCUCCGAAAGGAGAGCUAAUACCGGAUGUCCUCACCGAGUCGCAUGGCUUGGUGAAGAAAUGGAUUCCGCGUCCGGGAGAGCCUCGCGGCCUAUCAGCUA